rnacentral:lncRNA from 1 species
GGUUUCAAAGACACGUGUCUUUCGAGCUCUUUCAUUUUCCACCUGUGAUUUUUGUUUUUGGUUUCAAAUCGUCCAUGUUACAUACUUACAUUGUAUUGCUGAAAACUCCUUUCUCUUGAACUUAAAUUUGUUUCGUCUUAAUGUUAAUUAACAAAAUCAAUAAUUAUACCUAAAAACAUUUAUACAUUAUUUUUUGAAGGAUGAGUUGGUUAUAAAGAAAUUAUACCCAAAACAUUUAUACAUUAUUUUUUCGUUUUAUCUGUGAAAACGUUGCCACUAAUUAAUUUUUUCUUGGGGAUUACGGAAUUGUCGCAUGAGGCAUUGGAAUUUUUCCCUUUUUUUUAGGAAGCCUUGGAAUUUUUCUACAAGGCUCUUUUCUUUGUGCCAUAAUUUGACUUCCGAUAUUAGAUCCACACGGAGGUGAGCGCCAUACAGGCAUGCGUCCUGGUGGAUUUAGGAAUUGUGAAACACAGAUUAGAUUUCAAAUUACAGAAAUUUUAAGAUUAUCAACCAAAUAGAAAUGAUUUUAACAUGAUAAAGAUUUUCCGAAUAAGAAGGUACUGACCUGGGAGUCUAGCCUCCGUGAUACAAACCUGGAAGGAUAAACAUAAAAGUAUAAAAAUCAAACUUAGGAGAAGAGAAGCUUGUGUUGUUUUCUU